CCUCUGGGAAACAAGUCACGACUCAGGGAUAAGCCUGAGACACAUGGAGAGAACAUCCUGAUCAAUCUGGUCUUUGCUGCUACCCUGGUCAGCAGCCUGAGCUGGAUACCUGGCUGACAAGUACCACCUUUUUCCUACACAGAUGACAACCCAGCCCAUGAGCACCAGGGUCAUAGCUCAGCUAUCCAGGUGGCUUUGGUUUUGUGGCUCCACUUUCUCAACAUGAAACUCCAAUAGAGGAAGAAGGAAACAUGUGACCUGGAGAGUGGAAGUGGGUACUGGAGACUGCUGCAUCAGCAGGGAAAUGCUUUAUAUCCUCAAAUGACAUGUGCUUCUCCUGACAGCUCAUUGACCAGAAUUAGCAACAUGGCCCUUCCUAACUAGAAGGGACCAGAAUGGAUAGUCCUUCUAUGGGUCCAGAAGGAGAGAAGGACCAGAUAUGUGUGAUCAUGUCUCCAUUAUGGGAGAAAAGAGAAUUGAAAAAGAAAGAAGAUCCACAUAGUGUCUGAGGAGCUGAGACAAAAGAAAAUCCAAACACGAAAGUGAAGCAGCAAGCAGCCCAUGACAAAUAUGUGCACUGCCAGCUAAUGAAUAUUGGAGAACAUGACACGUUGGAGAGCCCAG
rnacentral:lncRNA from 1 species